rnacentral:tRNA from 1 species
GCCAUCGUGAUGCAACGGUAGCACACUCGACUUGUAUUCGAGAGGUCCAGGUUCGAGUCCAGGAGAGAGCA